rnacentral:rRNA from 1 species
ACGAACGCUGGCGGCAGGCCUAACACAUGCAAGUCGAACGCUCGUAGCAAUACGAGAGUGGCAGACGGGUGAGUAACACGUGGGAACCUUCCCUAUGGUUCGGAAUAGCCCAGGGAAACUUGGAGUAAUACCGUAUACGCCCGAAAGGGGAAAGAUUUAUCGCUAUAGGAUGGGCCCGCGUAGGAUUAGCUAGUUGGUGAGGUAAUGGCUCACCAAGGCGACGAUCCUUAGCUGGUUUGAGAGAACGACCAGCCACACUGGGACUGAGACACGGCCCAGACUCCUACGGGAGGCAGCAGUGGGGAAUAUUGGACAAUGGGCGAAAGCCUGAUCCAGCCAUGCCGCGUGAGUGAUGAAGGCCUUAGGGUUGUAAAGCUCUUUUACCCGGGAUGAUAAGGACAGUACCGGGAGAAUAAGCCCCGGCUAACUCCGU